UAUGCACAUGCGCACAUUGGUUGUUUACCC
rnacentral:piRNA from 1 species